GAUGAACGCUGGCGGCGUGCUUAACACAUGCAAGUCGAACGGAAAGGCUCCUGCUUGCAGGGGUACUCGAGUGGCGAACGGGUGAGUAACACGUGGGUGAUCUGCCCUGCACUUCGGGAUAAGCCUGGGAAGCUGGGUCUAAUACCGGAUAGGACCACAUUUUGGAUGGUGUGGUGGAAAGUUUUUCGGUGUGGGAUGAGCUCGCGGCCUAUCAGCUUGUUGGUGGGGUAAUGGCCUACCAAGGCGUCGACGGGUAGCCGGCCUGAGAGGGUGUACGGCCACAUUGGGACUGAGAUACGGCCCAGACUCCUACGGGAGGCAGCAGUGGGGAAUAUUGCACAAUGGGCGCAAGCCUGAUGCAGCGACGCCGCGUGGGGGAUGACGGCCUUCGGGUUGUAAACUCCUUUCGCUAGGGACGAAGCGCAAGUGACGGUACCUGGAGAAGAAGCACCGGCUAACUACGUG
rnacentral:rRNA from 1 species